rnacentral:lncRNA from 1 species
UUUACGGAUGAAUUUCAUUUUUUACUUUUGUUUUGGGGAUUCACAAAAAGGUUUGUAGCCACUUAAUGAAGGGAAUCUUAAAAUGCUCAUAACAAAAAGAGAAAGUUGUGGAUGUCUUUACAAUGCCGAGCAAAUCAAGUAUUCAUAUAUCAAAUCCCUAAAUAAAUCAAUCCAUUGAUUUGUCAUUUCGGCUUCCUGAAUUGAUCCUACAUUUGAACUGUUUUCCAGCUUGAUCCUCA